GAAGCCAUACUUACCAUCAGACUUACCAUAAAAGAUAAGUCCGAUAUCCAAUACUAUUCACGGAAAGGUAAUUAUAAACGGACAAAUAAGACCCCAGACGGAUUAAAAUCAUGAAUAAAUCAAUUAAUAAAACAUUACCACGACUCACGGGAAAGGUAAUUAUAAAAGCAAACGGGCAACAAAUAGAACCCCAGACGGAUUAAAAUCAAGAAUAAAUCAAUUAAUAAAACAAUACCACGGCUAUCAUUUAUUAUUUAUAAAUAUAUAAAUCAUACGUUUGCAAUAGUGUAGGAUGAAGUAAAUGUUAAGUAUAAACAAUGAUGAAGAUAGAAUGAAAUGAAAGAAAUGAAAUCAACCCGAAUAAGAUCCGCAGAUUGCAGGACGCAUCAUGUUACUGCCUAUCGCGCCGCGGGAAACAAACUACGCAGAACAACGAAACAAAGAAACCACCACAGAACGAAAGGCUGAAUAAAUAAACGAAUGAAACAUUCAACCUAAACAGAAUCGAAAUCAAAUAUAGCCAUCUCACAACGUCAGAUAACGCAUAUAGUCAGGAAAGUCACGUAGGACCAAUCAUGUAACACCCAGUCAGUUAAUAAAUAAAUGUAACCAAAGUAGAAUCAAAGCAACCAAGGCAGCAGGUAACUAGCAGAAAGGAAAUAUAAAAGAAAAGAAGAGAAAAGAAACAAACAAGGAACAGCACACCGUCAUCAAAGAGCUAUACUAUUAUCGAAGAGAAACGGCUUGAAUAAAUUGAAUUAAAGAAUACCAGAGAAGAAUAUCAAAAUGUCAAAAUGUCCAAGGAAUGUCCAAGGAUAGAGGUGACAAGAAAUAAAAUAAAAUAAAUGAUGGUAGACAGUGAUACGUGGCACAAAUAAAUUAAAA